GUCCUCCCCUGGCCUGUUAGCCCAGGGUCUGCCAUACUCAGUAGAGCACUGAUUUAAUCCAGCUCAGACAGGGAAGGCAGCCCACCCUAGGGACUGGCCCCACCCAAGAGCAAGCCCUCAGGUAACUUGUGGACCUGCAUAGGUGUGGUGCCUAGAACCUCUGCAGCCAGGUUGCUUUGUUGAAGAGCUAUUAGUGUGCUGAACCACAAGUCACUCACUGACAACAGUAAUCAGAGCGGAAUCAAGAAACACGAUGCCAGAUUGGGUCUCAGUCACACUGGUGCCUUAUUUCCCAAGCAUUGGACAAAGAAGAGAUAUUACUUCAAAGUGGAUAAAGAGAAAGACAUGGCCACAGAUGUGGGAAGCAGGAUACUGAAAAGUGCCAUCCAACAGGAGCAAUAAAA
rnacentral:lncRNA from 1 species